rnacentral:rRNA from 1 species
UACGUAGGGGGCAAGCGUUGUCCGGAAUUAUUGGGCGUAAAGGGUGCGUAGGCGGCCCUUUAAGUCAGAUGUGAAAGCCCACGGCUUAACCGUGGGACUGCAUUUGAAACUGGAGGGCUUGAGUGUCGGAGAGGGCAGUGGAAUUCCCAGUGUAGCGGUGGAAUGCGUAGAUAUUGGGAGGAACACCAGUGGCGAAGGCGACUGCCUGGACGAUAACUGACGCUGAGGCACGAAAGCUAGGGGAGCAAACAGG